AUAUCAAUAAGCGGAGGAAAAGAAACUAACAAGGAUUCCCCUAGUAACGGCGAGUGAACCGGGAAGAGCUCAAAUUUGAAAUCUGGCGUGCUCAGUGCGUCCGAGUUGUAAUCUAUAGAGUCGUUUUCCGUGCCGGACUGUGUCCAAGUCCCUUGGAACAGGGUAUCAAAGAGGGUGAUAAUCCCGUACUUGACACAAUGACCGGUGCUCUGUGAUACGUCUUCUACGAGUCGAGUUGUUUGGGAAUGCAGCUCAAAAUGGGUGGUGAGUUCCAUCUAAAGCUAAAUAUUGGCGAGAGACCGAUAGCGCACAAGUA
rnacentral:rRNA from 1 species